GCAAUUCUCAUUUGGACCAUGGGAACAAGCAUGGGUGGGCGUCCAUGGAUCUCUUCCACCACACAAUGUCUUAGAAAGAAUGAGGCAGAAUAAAUAGUCAAGAAAGUAACCAUGACCUCGGGCCAUGGCAACUGUGGCAACCAGACCUCAACACAAUAAGCCCUAGCACUGGCGCUGCAGUCGAGCUCAUCCAAGCAAAGCUAUGUCCCGUAGGGAAGUUCCCCUGUAGGGAGCAGGCACAUUUUGAUUUUACCUGUCCUCAGACCAACCCUUUGCUCAUUAUAAUAGUAAAACACACACUCUUGGGUGGAGAUUUAACACGCUAAUGAGACACGCGACGUACAGCCAAGUAGGUACAGCUACUGCGCAUGCGCACCCAGAGGACCACCCAGAACACGCUUCCUAGUAACCUCUUUCCACCUCCUUAUGAAUAACCAUGUAAGACUCCCACAAAAGGGGUUUCCCCAGCAAUAAUCAAUGCUGUCUCAUCCUUAUGAGCAGCCCGCCCUGCAUUCUUGUCUAUUCUGCACUUCACUUGCAAAUUUUUUUUUUUUUUUUUUGGAGACAGAGUCUCUGCUGCCCAGGCUGGAGUGCAGUGGUGCGAUCUCGGCUCACAACAACUUCCACCUCCCGGUUUCAAACAAUUCUCCUGCCUCAGUCUCCCGAGUAGCUGGGGAUUACAGGCUUGAGCCACCGCGCCCGGCCUUUUUUUUUUAAGAUUUUUUUUUUUGAAGCGGAGUUUCACUGGUCACCCAGGCUGGAGUGCAAUGGCACAAUCUUGGCUCACUGCAACCUCUGCCUCCCAGGUUCAAGUGAUUUUCCUGCCUCGGCCUCCCGAGUAGCUGGGAUUACAGGCACGUGCCACCACACCCAGCUAAUUUUUGUAGGUUUUUUUAGUAGACACGGGGUUUCACCAUGUUGGGUAGGCUGGUCUUGAAUUCCUGACCUCAAGUGAACCGCCGGCCUCGGCCUCUCAAAGUGCUGGGAUUACAGGCGUGAGCCACUGCGCCCAGCUGGUUUCAAUGAUUAAGAUCUCCUGCUUAAGCAGAAUACGAUCGGAAGUAAAAAAAUAAAUAAAAAUAAAUUUUAAAAAUGACAAUUUUUCCCCUCAAGUUUUGAACAACUGGAAAGCAUAAAGAUACAGUCUCGAAAAAAUUUAAGGAAUGAGCUUAAGGUUCUAAUUUUCAGCCUUCAUUGUUCAUCCUAGAUUUCUCUUUUUUUUUUUUUUUUUUUACUUUAAGUUCUGGGAUACAUAUGCAGAAUGUGCAGGUUUGUUACAUAGGUAUACAUGUGCCUUGCUGGUUUGCUGCACCUCUCAACCCGUCAUCUAGAUUUUAAACCUUGCAUGUAUUAGCUAUUUGUCCUAACACUCUCCCUCCCCUUGCCCCCACCCCCACACAUCCAGUGUGUCUGCAUUUCCAAACUUCUGCAAAGUUGUUUACUCAUGAUUUCUACAGUUCCUCUCGUCCUCACUUCCCAAUUCAUCGCAAAAGGCUCCAACCCAACCCUCCCUUCUGCACAUGGCUUUCUCCAGGGUCACCAAUGACCAAUUUUUUUUUUUUCCUGAAUCCAACAGAUACUGUAAAAUCUUCAUCUUACUUGCCCUUUCAGCAACAUUUGGGACCCCCCCAACCAUUCCCUUUCUUGAAACACUAAACGCCUUCUCCUAGUUCUUUCUUCCUUUAUCUUCAGUUGGCUGUCCUCAGUCUCCCUGGCUGGCUUACCAUUCUCCAGUGACUUUUUUUUUUUUUUAAUCCGGAUACAGGGUCUGGCUCUAUCACCCAGGCUGGAGUGCAGUGGUGUGAUCUUGGCUCACUGAAACCUCCGCCUUCUGGGUUCAAGCGUCGGCCUCUCGAGUAGCUGGGAAUACAGGUGUGCACCAUCACACCCAGCUAAUUUUUGUAUUUUUAGUAGAGGCAGGGUUUCACCAUGUUGGCCAGGCUGGUCUCGAUCUCCUGGCCUCAAGUGAUCUGACCACCUCGGCCUUCCAGAGUGCUGGGAUUACAGGUGUGAGCUACUGCUCCUGGCCUGAACCUGGCUUUGAAUACAAAUGAACGUAUGUGUAUGUGUCUGAGAGAGUGACAGACUGGGGGGAAGCAGGCUAAGUGAAAAGGGAGAAAGCAGGCCAGAAGGAAGGAGGAGAAGCAAAGAGGGAAGCACUGAGUAUCUACCCACCACCUGGAAUCUUCUGGAUCCUGCACGGCCCCAGAAAUGAUCUGCCUAUGGCUUCAGACACGGAGACUUUAGAAUGCCAUCAUAACACCCUCAUUUUGGCAGACCUCCUGGGCCUUAAAGCUUCACCAUCUCACUCAAAAUUGAUGGUGGCUUUUCCAAGCUAGCUUUCAUUUGCCUUGAGAUUGUCAGAAUCACCUGGUGCUUUCCAUUUUUCCUGCCUUCUCUCUCAUCAAUGCCAGUAUUGCUUUCAUACCCUAAGGACCGCUGUCUUUUAGCACCUUCUCUUUCAUAACGAGUUAACUACACAUCCAUAUCCACAUACACAUACACAUCCACACCCCUCGGGAUCAGAAAAAUAAUGUGGCCUAGAAGGAGUGUAAAAGCAUUUGUAAACUUUAUUUGUAAACCAUAUACAUUUCAGAAAUAACGUCAAAUAUUUUCUUUUUUUUUUUUAAGACAAAGUCUUGCUCUGUCGCCCAGGCUGGAGUGCAGUAGCGCUAUCUUGGCUCACUGCAACCUCUGCCCCCUGGGUUCAAGCCAUUCUCCCUGCCUCAGCCUACUGAGUAGCUGGGAUUACAGGCAUCCACCACCACACCGGGCUAAUUUUUGUAUUUUUAGUAGAGAUGGGGUUUCGCCAUGUUGGCCAGGCUAACUCCUGGACUCAAGUGAUCCACCCACCUCGGCCUCCCAAAGUACUGGGAUUACAGGUGUGUGCCACCAUGCCCGGCCAAAUAUUUCCUUAAAAAGUAGGAUCUAAAGUAAUUCAAGGGCUGGGCACGGUGGCUCAUGCCUGUAAUCCCAGCUCUGUAAUCAGAGCUCUUGGGUGACAGGUGCAUCGUUAAUGAGCAGUAAUAUUUUGAAAGGAAUUGUUUUGAGCAUUAGGUUUCCAUAGUGGGCUCAAAAUAUUCAGUAAACCACACUAUAAACAGAUGAGCUGUCAUCCAGGCUUUGUUGUUCCAUUUCUAGAGCACAGGCAGAGUAGAUUUAGCAUCAUUCUUAAGGGCUCUAGGAUUUUGGGAAUAGUAAAUGAACCCGGCCUUUAACUUAAAGUCACCAGCUGCACUAGCCCCUAAAAAGAGAGUCUGCCUGUCUUUGAGGGUUCAAAGCCAAACAUUGACUUAUCUUUCUAGCUAUGAAAGUCCUAUUAGGUGGUGGCUCACGCCUGUAAUCCCAGCACUUUGGGAGGCCAAGGUGGGUGGACCAUGAGGUCAGGAGUUUGAGACCAGCCUGGCCAAGAUGGUGAAACUCCAUCUCUACUAAAAAAUACAAAAAUUAGCCGGGUGUGGUGGCAGGCGCCUGUAAUCCCAGCUACUCGGGAGGCUGAAGCAGGAGAAUUGCUUGAACCUGAGAGCUUGAGGUGCCGUGGCAGGGAUUGGCCACUGCACUCUAGCCCUAGGCGACACAGCAAGACUCCGUCUCAAAAAAGAG
rnacentral:lncRNA from 1 species